rfam:Ictidomys tridecemlineatus contig070526, whole genome shotgun sequence.
GGGGUUAUGGUUCAGUGGUAGAGCACUUGCCUAGCAAACAUGAGGCACUGGGUUCAAUCCCCAGAACCACA